rnacentral:rRNA from 1 species
UGGGGAAUAUUGCACAAUGGGGGGAACCCUGAUGCAGCGACGCCGCGUGAGUGAAGAAGUACCUCGGUAUGUAAAGCUCUGUCAGCAGGGAAGAAAGAAAUGACGGUACCUGACCAAGAAGCACCGGCUAAAUACGUGCC